rfam:Camelus ferus unplaced genomic scaffold scaffold743, whole genome shotgun sequence.
GAGGGCAUAGCUCAGUGGUAGAGUGCAUGCCUAGCAUACAUGAGGUCCUGGUUCAAUCCCCAGUACCUCCA